GACGAACGCUGGCGGCGUGCCUAACACAUGCAAGUUGAGCGACGAACCAGGGCUUGCCCUGGGGCAAAGCAGCGAACGGGUGAGUAACACGUGGGUAACCUACCCCGAUAACCGGGACAACCCGAGGAAACUCGGGCUAAUACCGGAUGUGCUCACUGGACUUCGGUUCAGUGCGUAAAGGAAGCUUCGGCCUCCGUAUCGGGAGGGGCCCGCGGCCCAUUAGUUUGUUGGUGAGGUAACGGCUCACCAAGACCGCGAUGGGUAGCUGGUCUGAGAGGACGAUCAGCCACACUGGGACUGAGACACGGCCCAGACUCCUACGGGAGGCAGCAGUGGGGAAUCUUGCGCAAUGCGCGAAAGCGUGACGCAGCAACGCCGCGUGGGGAAGAAGGCCUUCGGGUAGUAAACCCCUUUCAGGAGGGACGAAGGUUCGGCAGUUAGCAGCUGUCCGGACUGACGGUACCUCCACAAGAAGCCCCGGCUAACUACGUGCCAGCAGCCGCAGUAA
rnacentral:rRNA from 1 species